GGCUACCUGCUCAUGCUAAAUUACUAGAGAUUGGAUUUGGGAAACUCCGGUGAAAUUCCGGGACUGUGCCGCAGCUGUGAUGGGAUUACCCAAGUCAGAAUGCCAAUUCCAAGGUUGUGAUCAUCU
rnacentral:ncRNA from 17 species